rnacentral:tRNA from 1 species
GGAGGGGUAGCAAAGCGGCCAAAUGCGGGUGGCUGUAACCCACUUCUUUCGAGUUCGGGGGUUCGAAUCCCUCCCCCUCCACCA